rnacentral:rRNA from 1 species
UACGGGGGGGGCAAGCGUUGUUCGGAAUUACUGGGCGUAAAGGGCUCGUAGGCGGCCAACUAAGUCAGACGUGAAAUCCCUCGGCUUAACCGGGGAACUGCAUCUGAUACUGGAUGGCUUGAGUUCGGGAGAGGGAUGCGGAAUUCCAGGUGUAGCGGUGAAAUGCGUAGAUAUCUGGAGGAACACCGGUGGCGAAGGCGGCAUCCUGGACCGGCAUUGACGCUGAGGCGCGAAAGCGUGGGGAGCGAUCCGG